ensembl:snRNA U6 U6 spliceosomal RNA
GUGCUCGCUUCAGCAGCACAUAUAUUAAAACUGGAACGAUACAGAGAAGGUUAGCAUGGCCCCUGCGCAAGGAUGACACACAAAUUCGUGAAGCGUUCCAUAUUUAA